rnacentral:rRNA from 1 species
CCUACGGGAGGCAGCAGUGGGGAAUUUUGGACAAUGGACGCAAGUCUGAUCCAGCAAUGCCGCGUGCAGGACGAAGGCCUUCGGGUUGUAAACUGCUUUUGUACAGAACGAAAGGGCUCUGGUUAAUACCUGGGGCAGAUGACGGUACUGUAAGAAUAAGCACCGGYUAACUWCGUGCCAGCAGCCGCGGUAAUACGUAGGGUGCGAGCGUUAAUCGGAAUUACUGGGCGUAAAGCGUGCGCAGGCGGUUUUGUAAGACCGAUGUGAAAUCCCCGGGCUCAACCUGGGAACUGCAUUGGUGACUGCAAGGCUGGAGUGCGGCAGAGGGGGAUGGAAUUCCGCGUGUAGCAGUGAAAUGCGUAGAUAUGCGGAGGAACACCGAUGGYGAAGGCAAUCCCCUGGGCCUGCACUGACGCUCAUGCACGAAAGCGUGGGGAGCAAACAGGAUUAGAUACCCUGGUAGUCCACGCCCUAAACGAUGUCAACUGGUUGUUGGGUAUUUGCUUACUCAGUAACGAAGCUAACGCGUGAAGUUCACCCGC